CCUACGUGAGGCAGCAGUGAGGAAUAUUGGUCAAUGGGCGCGAGCCUGAACCAGCCAAGUAGCGUGAAGGAUGACUGCCCUACGGGUUGUAAACUUCUUUUAUAAAGGAAUAAAGUGAGGCACGUGUGCCUUUUUGUAUGUACUUUAUGAAUAAGGAUGGGCUAACUCCGUGCCAGCAGCCGCGGUAAUACGGAGGAUCCGAGCGUUAUCCGGAUUUAUUGGGUGUAAAGGGAGCGUAGAUGGGUUGUUAAGUCAGUUGUGAAAGUUUGCGGCUCAACCGUAAAAUUGCAAUUGAUACUGGCAGUCUUGAGUACAGUUGAGGUAGGCGGAAUUCGUGGUGUAGCGGUGAAAUGCUUAGAUAUCACGAAGAACUCCGAUUGCGAAGGCAGCUUACUAAACUGCCACUGACAUUGAUGCUCGAAAGUGUGGGUAUCAAACAGGAUUAGAUACCCUUGUAGUC
rnacentral:rRNA from 1 species